CGCGAAGAACCUUACCAGGUCUUGACAUCCUUUGACCACUCUAGAGAUAGAGCUUCCCCUUCGGGGGCAAAGUGACAGGUGGUGCAUGGUUGUCGUCAGCUCGUGUCGUGAGAUGUUGGGUUAAGUCCCGCAACGAGCGCAACCCUUAUUGUUAGUUGCCAUCAUUUAGUUGGGCACUCUAGCGAGACUGCCGGUGACAAACCGGAGGAAGGUGGGGAUGACGUCAAAUCAUCAUGCCCCUUAUGACCUGGGCUACACACGUGCUACAAUGGGAAGUACAACGAGUUGCGAAGUCGCGAGGCUAAGCUAAUCUCUUAAAGCUUCUCUCAGUUCGGAUUGUAGGCUGCAACUCGCCUACAUGAAGCCGGAAUCGCUAGUAAUCGCGGAUCAGCACGCCGCGGUGAAUACGUUCCCGGGUCUUGUACACACC
rnacentral:rRNA from 1 species